rnacentral:lncRNA from 1 species
GGAGAUAAGGGAACUAUGCAAGUUUUGGGGGGCACAGGGAGUAUAUGGGUAAUCACUACCUUCUGCUCAAUUUUGCUAUGAACCUGAAACUGCUUUAAAAUAUAAAACGUAAAAAAAAAAGUAAACAACCCAGAUAGCUCAGUUGAUAGAGCAUCAGACUUUUAAUCUGAGGGUCCAGGGUUCAUGUCCCUGUUCCUUAAUUUUUUUUUAACUUUUUAAUUAAAUUAAACACAAAAAAGAAAAGUAAAUGUAUUGGAUGGAAAAUCAAGAGUGGGUCUGGCUUAACAUUUGAUUGAUCCAAUGGCUAAAUGAUGACACCAGGAACCUCUUCUUUCUGUCUUCUCUGCCAUUAAUAACAUCAUAAGGUGGCUGUCAGUGUAAUUGGGGCCUCAUCCUUUUUUGCUUAUGUUGAGUAGGAGGGAGAAGAUUCAGAUUUCUAAGAAAGGUCCAAGUCACAUAUUUUCUCCUGUCAUCGAAUGUUGAAGUUGGCUUAAACCAAAUGGAGAUUGCCACCAUUGCCCCUGGGAUCAGGGUGGAGUUAGCAUUCCCUAGAACCCAUAGCUGCAGGGGGAGAGGCAGUGAAAUCAGGAAUUCUCCUAAAAGAAGUGUAAUACAUGCUGAGCAGGUACCUGACAAUGAGUGUAACGGAGGAACUUCACAUGACGGUACUGAUGGCUUUUUGAAAUCUAGGGCAGGAAAGGACGCUUUUAAAAUUUAGAGAGAUAGGCCGGGCUCGGUGGCUCAUGCCUGUAAUCCCAGCACCUUGGGAGGCUGAAGCGGGCGGAUCACUUGAGGUCAGGAGUUUGAGAAUAGCCUGGCCAAGAUGGUGAAACCCUGUCUGUACUAAGAUACAAAAAUUAGCUGGCGUGGUGGUACGGCCCUGUAAUCCCAGAUACUGGAGAGGCUGAGGCAGGAGAAUCGCUUGAACCCAGGAGGCAGAGGUUGCAGUGAGCCGAGAUUGUGCCAUUGCACUCUAGCCUGGGCAACAGGAACGAAACUCCGUCUAAAAAAAAAAA